rnacentral:rRNA from 1 species
GAUGAACGCUGGCGGCGUGCUUAACACAUGCAAGUCGAACGGUGAAGCCAAGCUUGCUUGGUGGAUCAGUGGCGAACGGGUGAUUAACACGUGAGCAACCUGCCCUGGACUCUGGGAUAAGCGCUGGAAACGGCGUCUAAUACUGGAUAUGAGCCUCUUCCGCAUGGUGGGGGUUGGAAAGAUUUUUUGGUCUGGGAUGGGCUCGCGGCCUAUCAGCUUGUUGGUGAGGUAAUGGCUCACCAAGGCGUCGACGGGUAGCCGGCCUGAGAGGGUGACCGGCCACACUGGGACUGAGACACGGCCCAGACUCCUACGGGAGGCAGCAGUGGGGAAUAUUGCACAAUGGGCGAAAGCCUGAUGCAGCAACGCCGCGUGAGGGAUGACGGCCUUCGGGUUGUAAACCUCUUUUAGCAGGGAAGAAGCGAAAGUGACGGUACCUGCAGAAAAAGCGCCGGCUAACUACGUG